rnacentral:rRNA from 1 species
UACGGGGGGGGCAAGCGUUGUUCGGAAUUACUGGGCGUAAAGGGCUCGUAGGCGGCCAACUAAGUCAGACGUGAAAUCCCUCGGCUUAACCGGGGAACUGCAUCUGAUACUGGAUGGCUUGAGAUUGGGAGAGGGAUGCGGAAUUCCAGGUGUAGCGGUGAAAUGCGUAGAUAUCGGGAGGAACACCUGUGGCGAAAGCGGCUCUCUGGAACAUUUCUGACGCUGAGGCUCGAAAGCGUGGGGAGCAAACAGG